UACGAAGGGGACUAGCGUUGCUCGGAAUUACUGGGCGUAAAGGGCGCGUAGGCGGAUACUUAAGUCGGGGGUGAAAGCCCAGGGCUCAACCCUGGAACAGCCUUCGAUACUGGGUAUCUUGAGUACGGGAGAGGUGUGUGGAACUCCGAGUGUAGAGGUGAAAUUCGUAGAUAUUCGGAAGAACACCAGUGGCGAAGGCGACACACUGGCCCGUUACUGACGCUGAGGCGCGAAAGCGUGGGGAGCAAACAGG
rnacentral:rRNA from 1 species